rnacentral:sRNA from 1 species
ACAACUGCUGAUAGCUUGCCAUUAGUUGUCACAUACAUUUACAACUGCACUUUUCAUAUUUAAUGGUACAUGUAUUAUAAAUUGUACGUUCUUGCAUUAUUCACAUUCCAAGUAUUGAUAUUCUACUGAAUUUUUUCACAACUGUUAAUUUUUUUGAACUUAAAGAUCAAAACGUUACAUAAGAACUGGUAGAAGAGAAAUUGUUUUUUCAAAUAUUCAAUAAAAUGAGCCCUUUUUUUCCGGAAAAUAACAGAUUUAACACUGUAUAUCAAAUGCAUAUUUCCCAUUGUCUCUACAAAAAAUAGUGUUUUGUUAUUAUUUAUUAUUUAUUGUUUUGAUAUUUUCUUUAUAAUAAACAAAAAAAACAAAAGUC